rnacentral:misc_RNA from 1 species
UUCUGAUCUUAGCUGUAAUGGUAGAGCCAGUUGGUUUUCACUUAAAUUCAAUCACAUUGAUAGGAUUAGGAAAGCCCUAGUACUGCUUUUGUUAGACGAUAUAGCACAGAUGAUUCUUUAAGGAAAAUGAGCAGGAAAUAUUGAAUUCUACAAAAUUGAAAGUUGAAUAGACUCAUUUAGAAUGAAAAGGACAUAUAAAUUAUUCAGCUCAACAGGGUAAAAAUAUUUUUGAGACUACAAAUUUGAGCCAUGGGCU